rnacentral:rRNA from 1 species
UGGGGAAUAUUGGACAAUGGGGGCAACCCUGAUCCAGCCAUGCCGCGUGUGUGAAGAAGGCCUUCGGGUUGUAAAGCACUUUUGUACGGGAAGAAAUCGUUCGAGCUAAUACCUUGGGCGGAUGACGGUACCGUAAGAAUAAGCACCGGCUAACUUCGUGCCAGCAGCCGCGGUAAUACGAAGGGUGCAAGCGUUACUCGGAAUUACUGGGCGUAAAGCGUGCGUAGGCGGUUUGUUAAGUCAGAUGUGAAAUCCCCGGGCUCAACUUGGGAAUGGCAUUUGAUACUGGCGAGCUAGAGUACGGUAGAGGGUGGUGGAAUUCCCGGUGUAGCGGUGAAAUGCGUAGAGAUCGGGAGGAACAUUCGUGGCGAAGGCGGCCACCUGGACCAGUACUGACGCUGAGGCACGAAAGCGUGGGGAGCAAACAGGAUUAGAUACCCUGGUAGUCCACGCCCUAAACGAUGCGAACUGGACGUUGGGUGCAAUUGAGCAUUCAGUGUCGAAGCUAACGCGUUAAGUUCGCCGCCUGGGGAGUACGGUCGCAAGACUG